UACGUAGGGCGCAAGCGUUGUCCGGAAUUAUUGGGCGUAAAGAGCUCGUAGGCGGUCUGUCGCGUCUGCUGUGAAAACUCAGGGCUUAACCCUGAGCUUGCAGUGGGUACGGGCAGACUAGAGUGCGGUAGGGGAGACUGGAAUUCCUGGUGUAGCGGUGAAAUGCGCAGAUAUCAGGAGGAACACCGGUGGCGAAGGCGGGUCUCUGGGCCGAUACUGACGCUGGAGGAGCGAAAGCCGUGGGGAGCGAACAGG
rnacentral:rRNA from 1 species